GACGGAGGGUGCGAGCGUUAUUCGGAGUUAUUGGGCGUAAAGGGUACGUAGGCGGCUGGUCAAGUCUGGGGUUAAAGACCAGAGCUAAACUGGGGGGGUGCAUUGGAAACUGACAGGCUGGAGUAGGGGAGAGGUUGCGGGAAGUCCCGGUGUAGCGGUGAAAUUCGUAGAGAUCGGGAAGAAUACCAGUGGCGAAAGCGCCCAACUGGACCCUAACUGACGCUGAGGUACGAAAGCGAGGGGAGCAAACGGG
rnacentral:rRNA from 1 species